rnacentral:rRNA from 1 species
ACGCUGGCGGCGUGGAUUAGGCAUGCAAGUCGGACGGUAGGGCUUUAUCGUAAGAUAGAGUUUGAGAGUGGCGAACGGGUGAGUAACACGUAGGAAUCUACCCUUAAGACGGGGACAACCCAGGGAAACUUGGGGCUAAUACCGGGAUGAGAGUGCGCGAGAUUGCAUUUAAAAGGAUGGCGAAAGUUGUCGCUUAGGGAUGAGCCUGCGGUCUAUUAGUUAGUUGGUGAGGUAAGAGCUCACCAAGGCGAUGAUAGAUAGGCGGCCUUAACGGGUGGUCGCCCACACUGGGAUUGAGAUACGGCCCAGACUCCUACGGGAGGCAGCAGUCGAGAAUAGUCUACAAUGGCCGGAAGGCUGAUAGUGCGACGCCGCGUGAACGAGGGAGCCCUUCGGGGUGUAAAGUUCUUUUCUAUACGAGCAGUGCUAUAUAUAUGGAUAGUAUAUAUAGAGGGAUAGUAGUAUAGGAAUAAGCAACGGCUAACUCCGUG